GACGAACGCUGGCGGCGUGCUUAACACAUGCAAGUCGAACGGUAAGGCCCUUCGGGGUACACGAGUGGCGAACGGGUGAGUAACACGUGGGUGAUCUGCCCUGCACUUCGGGAUAAGCCUGGGAAACUGGGUCUAAUACCGGAUAGGACUCCGGACUGCAUGGUCUGGGGUGGAAAGCUUUUGCGGUGUGGGAUGGGCCCGCGGCCUAUCAGCUUGUUGGGGGGGUGAUGGCCUACCAAGGCGACGACGGGUAGCCGGCCUGAGAGGGUGACCGGCCACACGGGGACUGAGAUACGGCCCAGACUCCUACGGGAGGCAGCAGUGGGGAAUAUUGCACAAUGGGCGCAAGCCUGUUGCAGCGACGCCGCGUGAGGGAUGACGGCCUUCGGGUUGUAAACCUCUUUCAGCAUCGACGAAGCGAAAGUGACGGUAGGUGCAGAAGAAGGACCGGCCAACUACGUGCCAGCCGCCGCAGUAA
rnacentral:rRNA from 1 species